GCUGGGUGCAGUGGCUCACACCUGUAAUCCCAGCACUUUGGGAGGUUGAGGUGGGCAGAUUGCGUGAGCUCAGGAGUUUGAGACCAGCCUGGCCAACAUGGUGAAAUCCUGCCUCUACAAANNNNNNNNNNUUUGUAGAGGCAGGAUUUCACCAUGUUGGCCAGGCUGGUCUCAAACUCCUGAGCUUACGCAAUCUGCCCACCUCAA
rnacentral:SRP_RNA from 1 species